rfam:Schistosoma curassoni strain Dakar, Senegal genome assembly, scaffold: SCTD_scaffold0001065
GUCAGCUGACGAGUCCCAAAUAGGACGAAAGGUGCGUCCUGGAU